GCAGCCGGCACCGGGCACCGCUCCCCGCACCCGUGGCGGGGCAGCGCAGCUGGCAUGGUGCUGGCGGCAGCACGCCGCGCCCGCGUUGCACGGAGGAAGCCCGAGCGGAGCCGCGAUGGAGAUGCUGCUGCCGCCCGUUUGUACCAAACUUUGCCAUCAGAAGCCUUUGGAUCUGAAAGAUGAUAACACCGAAAUUCACUGUCCUGUUACAGUAAAUCCAUGGCACAUGAAGAAAGCUUUUAAAAUUAUGAAUGAAUUAAGAAGUCAAAACUUGCUGUGUGAUGUGACGAUAGUAGCUGAAGACAUGGAAAUUGCAGCGCAUAGAGUUGUGUUAGCCGCCUGCAGCCCCUACUUCCAUGCCAUGUUUACAGGUGAGAUGAGUGAAAGCCGAGCAAAAAAAGUUCGAAUAAAGGAAGUCGAUGGCUGGACUCUAAGGAUGCUUAUUGAUUAUAUUUACACUGCUGAAAUUCAAGUUACAGAAGAAAAUGUGCAGGUACUGCUCCCAGCAGCUGGUCUCUUGCAACUGCAGGAUGUGAAAAGGACUUGCUGUGAAUUUUUGGAAUCCCAGCUUCAUCCUAUCAACUGCCUGGGGAUUCGUGCUUUUGCUGACAUGCAUGCAUGCACAGAUCUAUUAAACAAGGCCAACACAUACGCAGAACAGCACUUUUCCGAUGUUGUACUUAGUGAAGAAUACCUCAAUCUUGGUGUAGAGCAGGUGUGCAGUCUUAUAUCCAGUGACAAACUCACAAUUGCCUCAGAGGAGAAGGUAUUUGAAGCAGUGAUAGCCUGGGUAAACCAUGACAAAGAUGUAAGGCAGGAGUUAAUGGCACGUCUGAUGGAGCACGUUCGGCUGCCUUUGCUUUCUCGGGAAUAUUUAGUUCAGAGAGUUGAAGAAGAAAUAUUGGUUAAGAACAGCAGUGCUUGUAAAGAUUACCUCAUUGAAGCUAUGAAGUAUCACUUGCUACCAACUGAGCAACGAGCAUUGAUGAAAAGCACUCGAACAAAAUUGAGAACACCUGCUAGCCUGCCAAAAUUGAUGAUGGUAGUUGGAGGACAGGCACCAAAGGCAAUUCGAAGUGUUGAAUGCUAUGAUUUUAAAGAAGAACGCUGGCAUCAGGUGGCUGAAUUGCCUUCCAGAAGAUGUAGAGCAGGAAUGGUGUACAUGGGAGGCAUGGUUUACGCAGUUGGUGGUUUCAAUGGUUCUUUGAGAGUUCGCACGGUGGAUUCCUAUGAUCCAGUGAAGGACCAGUGGACAAGUGUUGCUAACAUGCAAGACAGGAGAAGCACACUGGGAGCAGCUGUAUUAAAUGGCCUUCUUUAUGCUGUGGGAGGAUUUGAUGGGAGUACAGGUUUAUCAUCAGUCGAAGUUUACAACUUAAAGACUAACGAGUGGUUUCAUGUAGCUCCAAUGAACACAAGAAGAAGUAGUGUUGGCGUAGGUGUUGUUGGAGGUAAACUGUAUGCUGUUGGUGGCUACGAUGGAGCAUCACGUCAGUGCCUUAGUUCAGUAGAAUGCUAUGAUGCUAAUACGAACGAGUGGAGCUAUGUUGCAGAAAUGAGCACUAGACGGAGUGGAGCAGGUUUUUUCAACUCGCAGAAGUUAUUUUAUUUCUCUAGAUGCGUUCCCAAGGACUUUUUCAAGUCAAAUUCCAUGAUAUUAUUUUCUACAUUAAUUUUUCUAGUAGUUUAAAUCACUUUUUUUGCCAAGUACUCAAAGGCGGUUUUUAGCAACACCCUUCAAGUAUCUACUGGUGAUUGCAUUAAUGUGCUACAUAAUUGGAAGAGCUAUUGCUACAAAUAAAUCUGGAUGGACUUCUAGUAUGUUCAGUAGAUGAUUAGUAGUUAUCCCAACUUUUCAUCUUACCUUCCAUUAUUCUUUGUUAACUCUGAACAGUUUUUAUCUGUAUAAUGAUGUCUAAAUUAAGUUUAAAUAAUUUCAAAAGAAAUCUAUCGAAGUAUUAAAUUCAUUACUAAAAUUAAGAUAGUUUGUGUUACUUCCAUUAAAGCCUUACAAAAUCAGCAAGUUGAUCUCUCUUAUUACUAGAAGUCAUGUUUUGAUUGUGUUUUUAAACUAAAACUAUGACCUUAAUGAAGGAAACAUGAUAUAUUGUACCUCAAGAAAACAUAGUUGUCUUGUGAAACUUCUAGUAACUCCGUCUGUGCAUCUUGGAAGUAAAUCUAGAUUUAAAACUGGACAGAGUUGCAGUAAGGGUAUUGUUAAAUACUCCUGUGUAAUAUUGGCAAUUUUUGAGGAAAAUAUUUUUAUAAAAUGGGCAAACUACAAGUAUCAUUAUAAAGACAAAGAGUGUUGGUGUGUUGUGACAAAGCUUCAUUUUGCAGUCUGCCCGCACACACAUUUUGUUUCAGCAUUUGGGAUUUAUUUUUUGAUACUCUGUUUUUGCAAACUGUUAUUGUGCUUGUAGCCUAUUUAUACAGUAGAUAUUUUCAGAAUAUUUUUUAAUGUUGAAUUUCUUCUACAACUCUGAAAUUUUUAGUUCUUUAGAUACACUGACUACUGGGAUCUUUCUGUCCCUCUCCUCUCUCCCCUUGUCCCUGAGUUCAGGACUGUGUUUGCUUACUCAGCUCUAUUCUGCCUUUUAUCUUGUCCUCUGAUUAAAAAAACCAAAAUGGAAAGGAAAAGUAAAUAUAGUCAGUUAUUUCAGAUUCAUAUAAUGGAGUAAAGUAACGAACAUUCUUCUGUGCCACUCUGUAAAAUAUAUGGAAAAUUAUAUUUUUGUGUGGCAGAGGAGUGGGUGGUAAUGUGAAAAUCGUGACCGUUGAUUGGGCUUGGCUGUAGAGGCCAAAUAUCCAAACCCACCAGAACUGUCUCAACUGGUGAUCAGUCUGAUGGUGUUAUGGGUACUAACUAAAAAGAAUUUUGUUCCUGUGUUCAAGUUUUGCAUCUCUGGUCAUCUCAAGGAACUUAAGCUCAUCUCUUCUGUUCCUACUGCUUCAGCUUCAUUCAAAAGCAACUUUUCAGAGGUUAACCCUCAGUUACUCUUCUUUAGUACCAACUGCUUCUCAGUUGAUCAAUACGGGCACAGAUCUGUUUCCAGCAACAUAUUGGGAUGAGGAACUUCAGAUCCAGAUAUAGGCCAUUUGGGAGGGCUGAGAGAUAUAAGACAGGGUCCUGAAAAAUGGGCAGGAAAGAAAUGUAACAAAGAAAGGAGAACUCAGAAGACGGCAACAAGAGGAUACAGACGGAAGCAAGAAAUAAGGUAGGACCUGGAAACUGGGUGUGGGAUUAAGGGAAAAUGAAGCACCAAGGAGGAGUGGAGGACAUUAUUAAAAAUAAGGAACUAUGAAAAAAAAAAGGCAAUGUGGCAGAGGGAAUACUCAACACACUGAAUAGGAAGGUUGGUAACUACACCAAAAGCAUGGGUGGGGGGAUUUAUAUCACAUCACAUAUUUAAACUGAAAAUCAUAGCCCUCCUUCUAGCUCUAUAAUGUUUGAUUCUACAAAAGCUGAGUGUUGUAUUAUCCUGUCUGUGUGAUCAGAGUGGGAGAAAGAAAAGUUGUCAUACUAUACUGUGACAUGACAGCUGGAAAUAAUAGCAAUAAAAGAGGAAUUAAAUGAACUGGAAAGGAUAUGGGGAAAUGUUAGUAGUGAGUAUCACUGAUAAAGUAUUAGAUAGGAUGAUUUAUAAAAGUGUCCUAUCAAAAAGCUAUUUUUCAGAUUUACAUUACCAGUUAACUUCCAUGUUUCCUUUCUCUCUUCCUUUAAUUAUUAAAAUCAAUCUUUUUAAUAAGAAAAUUUAGGCAUUUCAGCAGGAGUUGUUUCUCUCCCCAUAUAGGAAUGGCUCUUAUAUACAAUAUUAGUGAUAUGUUUUCAAAGAUACUUCAGCUGGUUAUUAAGGUCUCAGGAUUCUCUUUUAUUUAUUUUUUUUAAAUGAGUAUUUUUUUUCCUCCAAAGGACUUAACUGAUAGUGUGCAUUCAUAUUUGUUAUUUCCCUUUAAAAAAGAUUUUUAAGCUGUGCCCUUUCCAUGGAAUCCUUUAUGAACUGUAUUUGCAAAUCUGUGUCUCAGCUUUGAGUUUCAUAAUCUCCAAUGUGACAUAUAUUAGAUUUUCCAAUAUAUUUCCAUAGUGCUGCUUUUUGGUUGUCUUUAUGGUCCAUCACACAAAAGUUUUAAUCCAAAACCCCUCUACAUUUCUUAAAUUUAUUAUUUUUGGGUUCUAAUAAUGCAUUAUAAAAUGAGGAAUAAAUAAACAGGCCUUUCUUUCUGCUUUCCCCAUUACCAUCUUUUCAGUAUGUGCAGCCCAAUUAGCAAGUAGAUAGAACUAGCUUUAUUCACUCCUUCGUUCCAAGGCCACAGAUUUAUGAACUUUGGUUGUAAAGUAAAGGAGACCUUAGGAUUAAAGGACAUGCUUUGAUAUCCUUUUGGAUAUUUUGAUAACUGAAGUUUGUUUCAAAGAUGCUUGGUAUUCUCCUCCAAAUCCCAGAGAAGGUAUUCACUCUUAACUGUUUCCUUCUGUUUUGUAUAUAUGUUUACAAGCUAUUCCAACAGUUCAGUGGAAACAUCCCUAUUGUAUAACGUCUAUCCAUUCAGCUUUUAUCCUCUGUACUGCACAGUUUUUACUUUCUAAAAAUUCACUUACACUUUAUCAUCUUGUCAGAUUUCCGUUAUGCUGGCUGAGCACACUGUCUCAUUUACUGUCACUUCUAAUUAGUCCUAAAUUUCAACAAUCCUCAUUUUCCUGCACAUCAUUUUUCGUCCAAAAUUUUCUAAACCUUCUGUUGCAGAACAGCUCUGGUCUUUGUAUGGUGCAAUAUGGUAGAUGGGCAUGCAAGGCACUUUAUCAGUGUCCUGCUAUAUUAUAUUUAUCAGUGUCCUGCUAUAGUUACUGUCUCUUUGCUUUAAUGCAUCCUGACCCAAAUGUUUUCUGAAAGAGUUUCUAGCAUUGACCUAAUGAUGGAUCUAUGUUAGUGGACAUAAUAUUUGUUGUUUCUCUUUUGUAUCAUUCAAACUAUUCUCUAGUUAAUUCUGUGUAUUUUCAUAUGUUUGCAGGUGUUGGCGUGUUAAACAAUUUAUUGUAUGCAGUAGGUGGUCAUGAUGGUCCUUUGGUAAGAAAAAGUGUUGAAGUGUUUGACCCCAUUGCCAGUACGUGGAAGCAGGUGGCAGACAUGAACAUGUGCAGAAGGAAUGCAGGUGUUUGUGCUGUUAAUGGUCUGUUGUAUGUAGUUGGAGGAGAUGAUGGUUCCUGUAAUUUAUCAACAGUGGAGUAUUAUAAUCCAACAACUGAUAAAUGGACGGUUGUGUCAUCCUGUAUGAGUACAGGAAGGAGCUAUGCAGGUGUUACAGUUAUUGACAAACCAUUAUGAUCAGUAAUGGGAUUUUCAACUUGAUUAUGCACUAGGAGCAGUCUUCAGCAAGUGUAUUUGAAGUGACUGAGUAUCUAAGCACUUCUCUACUUGUAGCUGCACCUUGAGUCACAGUGGAAGAUGUGACUGUCUACAAUUACAGAUGACAGAUGAUGAAGAUUACUCUAGGUAGAAGCAAUGUGUAGGAUUAUUCUGCAGCUGAGCAGAAGCUGAUUGAAUUUUUGAAGUCUAGUGGACCAUUUUUUUAAGUGCAAGAUCUUCAAAAAAAAAAAGCCACCUUUCAUAAGGACCGACUUCUGUCAGUCAUGACUGAGAAACGGAUUGUCAGUGAAGAACGGUGUGUAUUCUGGUGAAAGUAAAUUUUUGUCUUAUUUUUUCCAGAGACUAAUAAAUAUAUUUAAGGAAAUGAACUGUCAGUCUUCAUAGUAGGUAUUAAAUCCCACCUCAGUAAUUCAAGCUGGCAUGGGGUAAAUUUGUUUCCUUUUAUAAAACUUUUGUUACCUAACUAUACUAUGUGCAUAUGUUUGUUGCUCUCCAUUGAAACUCUUCAAAACCUGAUUUUACUAUUUAUAAUUUGGCACAGUACUUUGAAUAUGUCAGUACUAUGUUGUAAAACAGAGCUGUAUUUUUUGAUAUGUAACAAUGCUUAACACUACUAAUUCCCACUGAAGGAGAUCAGAGAUGGUAUAACACUUCCUGAACAGGUGUAAUUUCAAGAUCUUUCUAAUAAAAAUGUUGUCUGUACUUAAUUUUUUUCCUGUUCAAUUUUGGUCACAUUUAGAUGUUACUUCUUUUUUACCUUUUUAUCCAAAAGGUGAUUUGGCAUGAGAAUAACUGAAAAUUUAUAGUGAAUGUAUGCAAUUGCGUUGAACUUGCAUGGUACUAAGGCCUAUUUAUGCGUGUAACCUCAGCUUCUAUUAGCCAGUAUCUGAAUAUACUGUAUGUGGCCAUGCUUGUAAAGCAGCUCAUUUUUAUUUGUUCUUGGAUGGCCUCCUUUUAACAUGACCAAAGUUACUGUCAUAUUUGGGACAUUUUCUUCAAAUAAAAGUUUGUACAUUGUUUCCUAAU